rnacentral:lncRNA from 1 species
CUUCCCUUGCAGCGGUUGUAUGGAGAGGCUUUGGUCCUACAGAUUUCUAUGAGGUUCACCACAUUCUCAUGCUUGAGCAGCUGGAGGAUUUUAAUCUCUCGCAGAGCUGUGAUGGGGAACCCCUCCUUCUCAUUUUCCAUCAACACCUUCUUCAGCGCGACCUUUUUGCCCGUCUGCCGGUGCUUGGCUUUGAACACUUCCCCGAAGGUGCCCUGCCCGAUUUUGGCGAGCUUCUCGUACUUGGAGACCUCAUCGCAGAAGGGGCACUCCACCAUGUCGUACUGCUUGGCCAUGCCGGCCGCCG